GUCCUUGGGACGCUCUGCGGCCGGGGACGGAGCGGUUGGGAAUUGCGGUGCCUAAUAACCGAGCAUCGUGUUUGCAUUUGGAGUCACUGUUGGAAGCGGCUGUUGUGUUUGGCAGAGUGGUGAGAUUGCUCUGCUGGUCUAGGAUCCAGACCGUAGGAGCGAUUGCCUGCUGCAGUUCAGGUGUGCACUGGACAGGCAGUGUCUGUGUGGAGGGCAGCCGGCGGGAUGGCCACAGUGACCUCCUCAAGGGGAAGUACAGAUGUGGUCAUUGCCAGAAGGACAGAGUCGCAUGAUGUCCCAGGCAUUAUCAGCCUCUUCAGCCCUGUCACAGAAGACCUCUUUGGAAGGAUUGAUGUCACUUACCUCUUAGAAUUAUCAAAUCUCGCUUUGACACUCUGCAAUGAGAAGAAUGAGGUUAUAGCCCAUGCUGCCUUUCUGGACUAUCCCAACUGGAAUAUCACUGAUCAGGCUGAAUGGGAACCAUUCCUGCGUGAAAACUACCGUAACAAUAAGUGCACUCCUUUGAACACGCUCUUUGUGCAUCUCUUUGUGGCAAAGGAAGAUUAUGUGGCUGGAUAUUUCCAAGAAAUUCUUAGGAAAGCUUUCAUCUUACUACCAGAACUGCAGUUUAUACUUCUCUUUAUACCACCUGAGGAGAGGUUAGGCUUUAGCCAUUCAGAGCUGGACAUGGGGCCUGUCUUUGAAAGGAUCAUGCCUGUUCCAGGCUCACCCAUGAAGAGGCGUUUCACCUUGCUGGCAUGCCCGAGGCAUUGGUGUCACCCACGGCUGUACGUGCGCCAAGCAAGGAUGGAAGAUUAUGACGAUCUCAUGCUAAUCUGGACACCUCAAAGUGAGACUCUGAAGGAAACCUAUGGUGAAUAUCUGCUUGUUGAUCUCCUAGAACGUGAAGGUGAAGAAAACCAGGCAGCUGUUUGUGAGGUUGGUGGCACUGCAGUAGGAUUCAUGAGCUUAUGUUCUGACGUGAACAUUUCCUUGUUUCAAGAGUGCUUUGACUUAGGGCCUUUCCAUGGACUCUGUAAACCACAUCCUGAGGAUAUUCUCAAAGUGCCACGGAAGCCAAGUGUUCAAGGAGAUGAAGAUGAAAGCAACCAAACAAGUCAAAAGCCAGAGUCUGUUUCUUCUCUGAACUUCGAACAUGUUCCUGGUGCAGAUGCAGCUGUGCAGAAAGAUGGAGCCAUGACCGUUUCCCCCACUGAACUGCCGGUCGGUAAUGUCAUCAACAUAGGCUCUAAAGGCUCAGCAGCACCUCUGCUGGAGACUGAGGAGGGGGAUCUGCAUCCUGUGAACAGAGGAGCUUCAAAUGUUUUCAGUAUCCGUCUGUUUUGUAUUGAUGAGGAGUUUGAAACUAGGUCACUGGACUUUUUGCAUUAUGCUUUCAACGUUUUCCCAGACAGAGACUUCUGUGUCAUCCUGGUGCCACAUCAUGUCCCAGAGUUCCCACUGAUCCAGAGCUUUGUUCGGGCUGUCCCUUCCUGCACGUCCAGGCUGGGUCGGGAGCUGUACGUGUUCCACCGAGCAGGAUUGCUCACAUCAUUUAAUGUAAGAAAAGCAGCAACCAGUGACUUAGACGGUGUCAAAAUGCUUGUUGAAACUCUUAGCUUGAAUGAAAGGAUAUGGAAUGACUCAAAGAUAUUCACUGAGACUCGCAUGGAUCCAGACGGGAUGCCAGUACAGGCUUUUGUAGCAGAAGUUUUGGAUCAAAUCGUUGGUGUUUCUGUCAUCAGGGAUGAAAUGGAUAUUGAGUAUGUUCGAUCACAUUACGAUAUUGAGGACUUCAUUCAUUUUAAUCACCACCAGCAAGAGGAACAUGGGCAUCUUUGCCACUUUGUCUUGAAUCCUGCAUUUCAUCACUAUGCAAAAUACUUUCUAAAGGAGAUUCUUCGCUUGGGUCACAAAUCUUCUCUUUACUACCCUAUUUAUCCAGAAUAUGUGGAGGGCAAGUUCCAGCAUCCCUGCGCUCAUUCCCUGACAUCUGCCCUUCAUUACAUGGCUCCCGUGCGGCCGAGACGACAGAUUGUCUAUCCUCUGCAAGGGCUUGGCGUGAGCGCUCCGUCGGAGCAAGUCUCCAAGGAUCAGCUGAAAUAUUCCUUGAACCACACAAAUCGAAAGCUGGUGCUGGAAUCAAAAGUGUGUAUCAACAGUAGAAUUGUGGUGGUUGGUGCAUCUGAUGUUGGAAUCUCUUUUCUGGAAACACUGAUUUUUUGGCCACGGGUGAAGUUCAACAACCUGACCUUGAUUUCCACUCAUGGCCUUCCAGGAAAAGACCCACAGAGCUCCAAGUAUAGAAGAUUUUUAAUUAACAGCCACUGUUUUAAUGAUGAAGAUUAUGCACAGAUGUCACUUUGUUCCUGGGUUAAUGUUGUGGUUGGUAAAAUGACGGGCAUAAACCGCAGUGCCAAAUACGUUGUUGUUUCCGAGGAGAAGAAAGUGCCCUACGACUACCUGGUUCUGUGCACAGGACAGAGCUACCAGGCCUUGGCUCCCAUGGGAGCAGAUAUCAGUGAAGUCACGAGUCAGUGGCCACAGAGAUACAUGGAGAAAGUCCCUUCCAAUCACUUCACUCUCAAUGACGCCCAGGACUGCUUGGAGGCAGCGCUCUGGCUGGAGGAAAACCUCAUCAGCUCCACAGGAAACGUCAUUGUCUAUGGGAAUACAAUUGACAUGUACACCACGGUAGAAACCCUCUUAUCCUUUGGGAUUGAUGGUUCCCGCAUCCAUCUCGUGCGGGCUCCGCUGGGCUCUGCCAGCCCCUGCCUGGCCGAGGCCACCCUGGAGCGCGCGGUGGGGGAGGCCCUGGCAGAGGCGGGCGUGGCCCUGCACCCUGAGAGCGUCCUGGCACACUGGGGCCAGGGUGACCAUGGCCUCCUCACCUGGGCUGCCUUCAGCACUGCCUCACACCUGCUCCACCUGCAGUGCUCAGCAUUUUUUAGCUUUGCCUACAGGACACUGGAUUAUGAUAUCUUUAAGGCUGUCUGUGAUGCUUACCUUGUUUUUGAUGGAAAAGUCGUGAUUGAUGCCGAAUUCCACACCAAUGAUGCCAGCAUCAGGGCUGCAGGUCCUCUGACAAAGUUCUCCAGGAGAUACUAUAGGGAUGAAUUAACACACAGCAACUUCAACUCCAAGGAGAUUGGCUUUGAGCUUGCUGCUUCCAUGCUGAGUCUCUUUGAUUCAACCCCUCAGCCCAGUUCCGAGCUACCAGAAGGCUUAGACAGACUCGUCCCCAUAUACAGCAGGUGUAAAGUUCAAGGUGGUGUUCUUCCUGGAGGUUAUAACUACUUGCACAUUUCCAAGCCUGGAAUCCCCAUGCCCCCCUUGGAUGUAGAACAUGACCCACGUGAUCAUGGGAUGGAGAUUGUAACUGGGGAGGCCAGUCAUGGGAAUUACUUCAGGAUACACUUCAACAGGUACAAUAUGGUAGACAGCAUCACCUGCUUUUCCAAGGAGCCCUUCCCUGUCUCCAACUACAUCUGCCUGUACGGACAGCACGAGCGCCUCCUCAAUGACCUGUAUUACCGCUGGAGGGCCGGGCAGCUCACAGACCUCUACAGCUACUUCAGGGAACCUUGGUCCUUGGCCAUCUAUCACGAUCGGUUUAUUGAUCUGCAGAAGGAACUGCGCCAAACCCUGAUGUCAGAACAGGUGCCCGGGCAGCCCGCUGAGCAGAAACCCGGCCUGCCAUCGCUUCAGGAACCCGUCCUGCGCUACCUGCGCUACUACCGUGCCCAGCUGCCCAUGUACGCCCCGACCGAUGCCUACAGACUGCCGUCGGCUGCAGCAGGCAGCCAGGGACUGAAGCUGGGCAGAGCUGGGCACAGUGGCAGCAGCGGGAGCCCCACACCCGCACAGGAACCCUCCUAGGAGCGCAUCCUCCUGACACGUGACAGCGUGGUGUGAACUCCUCAAGAGCACUCCAGUCUGGGAAGGCCGCUGCCUGCUCCACACCUGGCGGCUGUUCCUGCAGAGAGGGACAGAACCCAAGUCCAGCAGGGACUGUCCCUGUCCCCCGUGAGCCAGCCCUGUAUACCCAAGGCACCUGCAGCAGCCGGGCCCAGCAGCACCACCAGUGUCGUCAAGAGUUCCAGCCCUGGCACCUCCCACCCGCCGCCACACACACCACACAGGUUCCUUCACUGACAGAAAAUCAACAGAAAGCAAAACCCAACUGUGAGGCAGAAAAUCAAACCAGUUGUCCAAGCCCUCAGUGACAGAGGCCUCUUCCUGCAGCUGCACCAG